CAUGAAGAGUCGCAUAAUACGCGAGUCGCAUAAUAUGCUUCUAUCUGACAUUUUACAUGAGAUACUAUUCAUUUAAAUCAAUAAUGUAUAUUUUUCUGAAUCGUUCAUGUGAAAGAAAACAACAAAUGCAUAGCCAGCCAGUCGCUUUUGACCGUCCGUCACUGCGUCACUCCUCCCCCGGCCUGCUACUGCACAGUGCACUGCCAGAUGACAGUCUGCCUCAUGGACAGCAGCAGCUGAGCUUAGCCUUGUGUCUCUGGUGGCAUCAUCGGAAGGUCGCCUAGCUGGCCUGUUGAGUUGAGACCACCAGACUGCUAACCAACAGCAGCAUGGCACAAAAGUACUGAACAGGCAUCAACAACAGUCAGCGGUUGACAACCAAACGAGGCAGGACUCAGCUAGCGCUAUCAACACGUUCCUGGACCAACAGAUAUAUCCCAGUCAAGAGCAGAGGGGCCCAAACAGUCACAUCUGUAGUUUUUCCCUCAGACCCUUCAGGGGGAUAGAAGACGAGGCUUCAUGAAAGAGUGGUGUAUCUUGAGGUAGCUCCUUUCUGAGAACCUCUUCCCGCAGUGCAAACAGGAAAACGACCUCUCUUCUGUGUGGACCUUCAGGUGCAUCUUCAGGUUGCCAGCCUGGGCAAAGCACAUAUGACACCAGGGGCAGCUGAAAGGCUGGGAGUGGGUCGCGACAUUUGGAUUUGUCUCCAAGCUUUCCCUGUAAUCUAAGAAAUAUCUGCCUUGACGGCGUUCAGCGUUCCACUGACCUCCAUGAUGCUGCAUCGGUUCUUAGGCUGGGUCGGGGCAGCAGGGUCCUCCGUGGCUAAAGGGGGCACCACUCCAGCCACUACACCAGUCUGGAUGUCUC